rnacentral:rRNA from 1 species
AAUCCAUAGGUUAAUGAGGCGAACCGGGGGAACUGAAACAUCUAAGUACCCCGAGGAAAAGAAAUCAACCGAGAUUCCCCCAGUAGCGGCGAGCGAACGGGGAGGAGCCCAGAGCCUGAAUCAGCAUGUGUGUUAGUGGAAGCGUCUGGAAAGGCGCGCGAUACAGGGUGACAGCCCCGUACACAAAAGCGCAUGUGCUGUGAGCUCGAUGAGUAGGGCGGGACACGUGGUAUCCUGUCUGAAUAUGGGGGGACCAUCCUCCAAGGCUAAAUACUCCUGACUGACCGAUAGUGAACCAGUACCGUGAGGGAAAGGCGAAAAGAACCCCGGCGAGGGGAGUGAAAAAGAACCUGAAACCGUGUACGUACAAGCAGUGGGAGCCCCACCACCAAAGCAUUC